UGUGUGAUGCUCUCCAGAUUCUGGCUUUAGAGAUGCUUUAAUCCACUUGAAGGAGGAAGGAGAAGGACCCAGCUAAAUCCCAAGAGGACAAAAUGGCAGAGGGUGAAUCAAUGGAUGAGCCCCUGAUUGCUACAACAUAUGCAACAUUUCACUGGCUGUAUGAAUCUCUCGAUCCAAAACUGGCCUGGUCCUGAAAGGAACAAUAUUUAUCAUAUUCUAUCUUGAUGAAAUCUGAAUGCUAAGAGGCUACCUGACAUCACAGCAGGAGUCCAUGGCAGGGAUCUGAAGGU